GAUGAACGCUGGCGGCGUGCCUAAUACAUGCAAGUCGAACGAACAGACGGGGAUCUUGCUCCUCUGACGUUAGCGACGGACGGGUGAGGAACACGAGGAUACCCUACCUAUAAGGCUGGGAUAACUUCAGCAAACCGGAUCUAACACCGGAUAAUCGGUGGAACCGCAUGGUUCAAUAGUGAAUGACGGUUUUGCUGUCACGUAUAGGUGUAUCCGCGCCGCAUUAGCUAGUUGGUAAGGUAACGGCUUACCAAGGCAACGAUGCGUAGCCGACCUGAGAGGGUGAUCGGCCACACUGGAACUGAGACACGGUCCAGACUCCUACGGGAGGCAGCAGUAGGGAAUUUUCCGCAAUGGGCGCAAGCCUGACGGAGCCACGCCGCGUGAGUGAUGAAGGUCUUCGGAUCGUAAAACUCUGUUAUCAGGGAAGAAACGAUGUGUACUAAAACCCGGAGGUACUGACGGUACCUGCUCAGAAAGCACCGGCUAACUACGUG
rnacentral:rRNA from 1 species